GGUUUUAUGGUUGAAGUAACAAUGUCGAAUUGCAGAUUCGAAGGUGCCUAAUCGGUUAAAACUU
rnacentral:tRNA from 1 species